rnacentral:lncRNA from 1 species
GUGUUUCUUAACGUGACUCCCGAUAGGAGAAUUUGCUGAACCAUCUGGCUCCAGGAUCUUACACUAUUUACAGAACGGACCCGUAGAGUUAUAAAUUACUCUCUACCUAUUAUUUUAUUUCCCAUCUUUCUCCCUAAACAGUUUUUUUUUCAUUUUUUCGGCUCCCAAAACCGAGGUGUGGUUUACAUUUCUGUGGGUAUACACUUUUCCAUCAGUAGACUGCUGCCUGAUCCUUUGUCUCUGAAGUCUGGUCUCAAUGCCAUCGGUCCGGAGCCAAGAUGACUCCAGCUGCCUGGAAUUCCAUUCAUCUCUUUGGGAAGGGACGUCAGCGGCGGCGAUGCUUCUCCAGCUGUGGCCCUGCGUGAGCAGGCUUGGCUCUGAGUCCAGGGAUCCAGAAAGGCAGGAAAUGGAGACAGGGGCCAACUGAGGGUGUUCAUUUCACAGUAGACAACUGCCCCAGCUCCUGAAGGCCACUCCCAUCUAGAAGUCACCCUUUAUGAUUUCAGCUCUCUGGCAUGUCGACCACAGGAGGCCAUCGGAAUGGAAGGCCUGAUCUGUUCAGCAUGGCCACUGGAAAAUAAAAGAAAAAAAAAAUCCUGCAAUGUUGCAUUAAAGCCAUGGCGCACCCAGGCCUGAAGAGUGGUUUGCAAGCUGCCGGGUUUCCUCAGGCGCUGGCAAGGUGAGUGUUAUUGGAACCUGUCUGUGUCUCAUUCUAAGCCCCUGUCUCCUAUUUUCUUCUCUGAAGGGAAGGUGUGAAGCAUGAGAGCGCACAUUUCUUUCUUUCUUUCUUUCUUUCUUUCUUUCUUUCUUUCUUUCUUUCUUUCUUUCGUUCUUUCUUUCUUUCUUCGGACAUUCCCUCAUCUGCAGACCAUUAGCCAAUGGCUUGGUGUCCUCCUACCUCGCUACUGGGCCAGGAGAGAAGAAAUUGAAUGUAUAGGCAGAAAUGAUGCCUUGAUUUAAAAAGAACACAGCCAAAUGAAACCUGCAGGCCAGUCCUCAGGCUGGUACCUGUUGGAUGAUGCUUUGUACGAAGGGACCCACAUUGCUUGGACUGUGAUGUGACCUUCCUACUGAGGCCCACAGACAUGAAAUUGGGAAAAAAAAACCAGUCAUUCCAAGUGGUACAUUUCCUUUGAUAGUUACUCUACCACCUGAGAGAGCCUUGGAGCCUCUGUUUACACUGCAGCUGAGCUGAGUAAGCAAAAAUGCAGUAGCUUAGCUCUGCCCUUCAGCCUCAACUGGCAUAAAUGAGCCAGCUGUCUGAUUUGUGAGGAUGUAUGUGGAUGCUAAACACUGUUGUCUGCUUCUGAGAUGGAGGCUCACUAAGAAUGGGAACAUGCCUCUGUGAACAUACAGCUCUCAGGGUAUAUUCCUCCUCUCCAUAGAUGUGUCUGUUGUCUGGGAUGACCAAUGCUGGUUCCUGGUCUGACUCAGGUAUGGGAUGGCCUCUAUUCCACUUGUCAUACUGGGAGAGUAACAUGAAUCGAGUCUUAAUUGAUGUAGUGAUGAGACUCUGUCAAUUGGUGAUUUAGACAGUAGACAAUGUCCUGUUUGUCAUGGCUGUCCUUCUUCAUGAAGGACAUGUUGGAUAAUGGAUACAGGAAGUUAGUUUUCAGAUUUUUAGGAUGCCAGGCACCCCAUGGGUUGCUGUAUCCAUCCUCCCUCAUCUACGGGGCAUUAACUGCCCAUGUGGAGAAGUUCUAACCCCUGAAAGGAAGUUUGCUUUUCUCAUUCUGGUUAAAACCCCUCCAGCUCUUACCAAAGGCUGUCGUUAGGAUGUCCAAAGAUGAAAAGAUGUGUAGAUGCCUAGCUGUGGUGGUGUGGAUAUAUACCAGGCUCUUUCCCAAGGAUUUUGUCUCCCUCUGAGUCUGUGAAAUCAUUUUCUCAUACUUUGGCCUUACCUUCCUGCCUCUUUCCUAAGGCUACUUUGGAGAGCUUUCAAUUCCAUUGUCCAUUGAAGUAAAUUCUGAUUCUAAUUGAGAGGGAAGUGUGGCAGAGUCACCAUAUUUGGAUAGAUUUGUUUUCCUUUGAAUUGAGAAGGAAGACGAGAGUGAGAAGGAGCCAGUGAUCAUUAACCCGAGUUUCUGCUCAGCUUGUGAAAGGACAUUUAGAAUUGCCAACUCAAAGAUGCUCCAGGCCAGAAGUAAUGCUUCUGUCUGAUAAGCCACGUGGCCCUGUAUGGAGGUGUCGAUAUGGUUCAAGAAAUACUAAACUUACAGCCUGAUGCUCUGGGUUCUUGGAACGUUUGUCCAUUAUUAGCUGUGUGACUAGCAAGUCACAAUCUUACUUGAGGCACUGUUUCCUCCUCUGUCAAGUGUGGAUAAAAAGCUUGUCUGGAUUACCUUAUGGGGUUAUUCUGAAAAUACAACAGGAUAUACUAAUCUGUGUUCAUGGCAGGGAUGUUGGAUAUGAAGUUACACUUGAAAGUCAAAUGUUCCAUCUCCUUCUAAGAGAUUAUUAUUCAACACAAUGAAUAGUUUUUUCCAGUCUGUGACAGGUACCAUUGACUCUCUGAUUGAAUGGUAGAUGAAGAAUUUGGCUCUCAUUUAGAGGAUGUGCCGU